rnacentral:tRNA from 1 species
GCCUGGGUAGCUCAGUCGGUUAAGCGUCUGACUUCGGCUCAGGUCAUGAUCUCACGAUUCGUGAGUUCGAACCCCUCAUUGGGCU